rnacentral:rRNA from 1 species
UACGAACCGUACAAACGUUAUUCGGAAUCACUGGGCUUAAAGGGUGCGUAGGCGGCCAUGUAAGUGAGGUGUGAAAUCCCUCGGCUCAACCGAGGAACUGCGCUUCAUACUGCAUGGCUUGAGGGAGACAGGGGUAAGCGGAACUGAUGGUGGAGCGGUGAAAUGCGUUGAUAUCAUCAGGAACACCGGUGGCGAAAGCGGCUUACUGGGUCGUCUUCUGACGCUGAGGUACGAAAGCUAGGGGAGCGAACGGG